GCCGUGGCUCAAUGGUAGAGCAUCUGCUUCACGUGCAGAAGGUCCCAGGUACAAUCCCUGGCAUCUCCA